GGCACAGUGGUUUAGGGGUUAGAAUAUUGACCUCGCAUCACCAGGGUUGGGGGUUCAAUUCCUUCCUGUGCUC